UACGCUACAAACUUAAGUCCACCUAAGCCACUGUAGUAAAUGCGGUCCUCUCCGCACUACCCUCCUUCUGUCCCUGCUGCCCGUCCUUGCCAGGAGUGCUUUCACAGGCUUAAAAAGGGUAGUGUGGAGGCAACAGCCUGGCUUGGAGUGGGGAGCCAGGAGCAGCAACGCUGUAGCUGGAGGCCCCACUCACCUCAGGGUGACACCGGAGCUGUGAGCCUGUUUGUUUGGGUUUUUUUGGUCAAUUUCAUGGCUCCCUGCUGGAGUCAUGAAAUUCACAAGAAUGACAGCCAACAGCUGAGUCUGUUUCAGCUGCUGUUGGAACAGGCUGUUGUUUUGCACCAGCAUCCGAGUCCUAAGGUAAAACAAGCUGCCAAGGAACACAGCUGAAGUGACAACAUGUUUUGCAUACAACAAACAGCAAGCACAUUUUUCACAUUUUUUUGUUUUUUCUAGAAAGACUAGAUGCCACCUUAAGAUAACGUACCAACAGGGUGAGAAGAAGAAAAUAAAGACAAGAGGCUGGGGCGUUACUAAGGCUAUGGCUACACUACGAGGCUUUUAGCGACACAGCUGUGCCGCUAAAAGGCAUGCAGUAUAGCUGCUGUUUGUCAGGAGAGAGCUGUCCUGCCAACAAAAAACUUCCAUCCCCAUGAGCGGCAGUGGCUUUGUCAGCAGGAGAGUGCUGUUCACACUGGUGCGUUUUGUCUGUUAAACUUUUGUCGUUCAGGUGUGUGGUUUUUUUUAACACCCCCGAACAACAAAAGUUUUGCUGAUGAAGUGCAGCGUAGACAAACUCCCCUACUUAGGGGAUCCAAAUCCUGCUGAUAGGAGACGACUUACUAAGGAUCAAGUAGGGUAGAAUUCCCUACUCUGGCUGGGCUUGGUACAGCAUGGCUGCGUGUCAUUUAAUAGCCUGUAGGAGGUUAGACUAGAGGAUCUGGUGGUCAUUUUUAGUCUUAAACUCUAUGACUAAGUUCCAAUGAAUUGUCCCUGCUGCUACAAAGACAGCAUACUGAGAAAUUAGUGAAGUUUCAUGUCGGUAUGUAAAAGAUUUGAUUCUAGAGAUUUCUAACAGAAGAUACUUUAAGAUUGGUCAUGAAUAUGACUAAAUCCAUCAGUUUCACUUUCCUUGGGACUGACUGAUCGUAUGUAUGAGAAACUACUUUAGUAGGACAACUGUUCAGCACUCAAGGCAAACUCCAAAAUUUGGUUGCACAUGAAACUCUAAUUCUCCUACCAUGUGAGUCUAUGUUAAUAAGUCUAAUUGCAUGAUCACAUCUCAGAAUUAUCCUGUCCAUUUUCCCAACAAUCUAAGGUUUUUUUUCAUAUAACAAUUUGAUGGUUAAUUGUCCACUUUAUGCUUACUGAUCGGGACUUGAUAUAAGCUCUCUUCUUACUAUUAUUCACUCUGUAUUUUUAAAAAAAGAAAUUAACUAUCUUUUUCUCCCCAGCAGAACAGAUUUUGUUGGAUACAAUUAAUUGGAUGAGAAACUUAAAUACAAAGCUAAAGCUCCGCUCCUACCGCUUACUCUACACAGGUGAAGACCCAGCUCUCAUGGAGAACUGGGGUCUGCAAAGGCAGAGAGCUCUUUGCAAUAUCAAGCUUUAGUCUGUCAUCUGUUGGUAUAUAUGAUUUACUGUAUACUUUUCAUCUGAGCAUCACAGAAUCUGACAUACAGAGAAGUACAUAGUACAACAAAUGGUAUCUACAUUGUAUACCAUAAUGUUUCGUAUUAAAGGAAUAGUGUGUGGCUUUGUAAUGAAAGACUAUAUCAAUUUAUAUACAGAAGGUGGCCUAGUUAAGGUUACAUGCAACUUUGGCACUUUUUGACUUCUGAGCACUUCAGUGUGUAACACAAGAUCUUUACAAGCAGCUUUUCCUAUAAAGCUUUAUAUUUAAAAAAGAAAUCAGUGGAGAAAAUAUUGACACUACACUACAUAUUCAUCAUGGGGGAAAGAUUAUGAUAUGAUUGAUUAUCAUGCAGUUUGUACAAGAUGAGUCAAGUGAGGUAUCAUUGGAAAAGUUAUGAUUUGCUGAAUAUGAUUGUCCUAUUCAUGUGCAUGUUUCAUUUUUGUAUCUGAAGUUAUGAAUAUUGACUAUGUAUCUGUAUUUCAAACGUGCUUACUCUAACACCCACAGGUAGCCUUUCAGGUACAACAGUGAAGAAGCUAGACAUUGUUCAUGGCCCAUCAGCAAAGACAAUGGGCUAUGGAAGAGUUUAGCCUUCCUGUAAAUGGUUCAGCCAGCCUGUAAGUAAUGGCUGCUAUGACUCAGCAACAGCAUAUGACCAGACCACAUAAUACUGAACUCCAUUUUGGGUACCUGUAUUUUUUCACAAAUUGGUUUGGGAACUGUUUUUAGAACAAAGGGUUCGCUGCCAUAUGUUAAAACUAUAUAAGGUAGGGUGUGACAUCAUCUAGGGAAGCAGUUCUCAAACUGUAGGUCGGGACCCCUGUUAAGGUUCCUUCCCCACUCUGAACUCUAGGGUACAGAUGUGGAGACCUGCAUGAAAAACCCCUAAGCUUAUUUUUACCAGCUUAUGUUAAAACUUCCCCAAGGUACAAACUGUUUUACCUUUUGCCCUUGGACUUUAUUGCUGCCACCACCAAGCGUCUAACAAAUAUAUAAGAGGGAAAGAGCCCGCUUGGAAACGUCUUUCCCCCAAAGAUCCUCCCCAAACCCUACACUCCCUUUCCUGGGGAAGGCUUGAUAAAAAUCCUCACCAAUUUGCAUAGGUGAACACAGACCCAAACCCUUGGAUCUUAAGAACAAUGAAGAAGCAAUCAGGUUCUUAAAGGAAUCACCUCUGUAAAAUCAGGAUGGUAAAUACCUUACAGGGUAAUCAGAUUCAAAACAUAGAGAAUCCCUCUAGACAAAACCUUAAGUUACAAAAAGACACAAAAACAGGAAUAUACAUUCCAUUCAGCACAGCUUAUUUUAUCAGCCAUUUAAACAAAACAGAAUCUAAUGCAUAUCUAGCUAGAUUACUUACUAAGUUCUAAGACUCCAUUCCUCUUCUGUUCCCAGCAAAAGCAACACAGACAGAGAGAACCUUUGUUUCUCCCCCCUCCAGCUUUGAAAGUAUCUUGUCUCCUCAUUGGUCAUUUUGGUCAGGUUCCAGCGAGGUUAUCCUAGCUUCUUAACCCUUACAGGUGAACGGGUUUUUCCCUCUGGCCAGGAGGGAUUUUAAAGGUGUUUACCCUUCCCUUUGUAUUUUGACAACCCCAAAGUGGGAUGCAACCCCAUUUUAAUGGGAUAACCAGGGACGACACCCAAACCCUACCGCCCGAGGCUGAAGCAGAAGCCCUUGGGUGGCAGGGCUCUAAACUAGUGUGCCUUUGAGUGAAGUGUCUAUGGGAAAAUCUCAGCUCCAUGAGCAAAGGCUGUUGCAUAUUCCUCUCCACAUCAAGGGCAGGGUGAACUGAAUAAUAAAUUCAUACUGGUUGGGGUUUUGACCAGGGCAGGAUGGUACAGCUCUGGGGUCUUACACUGGGGAACUGGGGGUUAUUUUGACUGUAGCCUCUCUAUUGCUGGUUCAUGCGGUGGCUGGCCAGAGCCUGCAUGCAAGUGCAGCUGGGUGUGUAAAACUGGGAGCGGGCUGCAGGUUGUCACAGCAACACCAUGCGAGAGGAAACCCAGGCUGAUGAGUUGGAGGGCUGAGUGGUACCCCAGUUCCAGGUGAAACCCUGGUUGGAACCCGUCACACACGUAAAAAGGCACUUUCCAAGAUCGUAAAUCUUAAUCAUGUCCAAGAAAAAGAGAAAAAGUUUGCAUGGUGAUAUAUUCCAUGAUCUGGGAACAUAUAGCUAGUUAAACACAGACAACCCUCUCUCGUGCACCUACAGAGGGUGCAGGAUGGAGAUCUUUAAAUCUCAGAAACAGCAGCAAUUUAGGUUCAUCAAACCAAAGACUGUAACAGUCUACCUUGAAUCAACUCUGGGACUUGCCCCAGGAGCCACACUGCUCCCAUGGGGGAAGGUGGGGUGAGAAGGUAGCUUGCUAAUUUUUUACCUGCUGCACUUUCUCAGUAAUUUCUAAAGUAGUAUGCUGUUUGUUAGUGGCCAUAUCUAUUAUACCUCAGGAGAGGCACGUCUAGUUUUAUGUAAAUCAAACACACCAUACAAGAGAGGGUUCUGCUGAGCAUGUGUCCCUUUCAAUCUGUUUAUACUUCAUUAGCUAGUUCAUUCAACAGAAUUUAGGUUCUGUUUUUACUAUACCACUUUGUAAGAGUGCUGCUAUUAAUAUAUUUUCGUUUGAAAUCUCCAAUAGUAGCUGUAACUAAUUUGGAAAUGUAAUUUUUAAUAGAAAAAUAUAUAAAUAGCUCUGGAGGGGUAACAAUGUAAUCAUUACUUGUCACUUCAUGGUCAUGUGUCCCACCCUUCCCUACUGCAGCAGCUAGUGUCAUGGAUUCUCCAUUGCAAUAAAUCCCCUGUGUGUGAUGCAGCUGCUUUAGCAUUUGAAAGCUGGUUUAAAUUUAAACAGGGAAUGUGUGUAUAAUCUUCUUGGCAAGUAUAAAAAAUAAAUCAAUAAAUGAAGCCUUACUAUUUGCUUUGAUAUGCUUGUAAAUGACACAGCAGAUUCACUUGUAAAGCUGAAGUACUGGGCAAGUUACCUGGUCAUGUAGCUAACAUUAUUAAGCUUUGUUCCAGAGUAUCUUUCCCCGCUCUUUAUUUUGAAAUAUUGGCUUCAUAUGCAGUUACUAUAUAUUAUUUAUUUUAAAGAUUAUUUUGUACCCUUCUAAAACGGUUAAGAACAGAGCACAAUAAAUGAGCAAGAAUGGUGGAAA